CAACAUUGUCUCUGUAUUGAUGAUGGUGACAAGACCCUAAAACGGAGCAGCAUGUUGGCACUCUUCUUAGAAAGUUCUGUUGGAUCGUGGCGAUAAGGAAGUCAACUACAUCAAGUUCUGCGAAGCUCUCCCCAUCGCGCUUUUACAACCAACGCCAAAUGUCAGAAUCACCGCGUCCCAGCUAACCAACACGACAACACCGCAUUCGCACGUGAACACGCAGCGAGAGUGUCCGACUCCAUGGACUUGAAUAUGUUCGUCAGAUUUGUCGCAUUCGCCCGUCCCCGCUACGAGACUUCCAAGCUGGUGACAACGGACGGCGUCAUUCCUGUUUCGGAGGCAAACAACUUGCUCUCCCGUUUGGUAAGUGUAAAGGGACUAAGACGACACAAGCGUGACGGGGAGUGUUGAAAAAGACGGAUCGGAAAUUCACUAGACUCACCAUUUCAAACGCUUCAAUAAAGGCUGUCACAGUAGCAGUGGGCACGUUUCUCGUCUCGGUAAAUUUUCAUGUUCGCGCAUUUGCUGUGGAAGCAUUUGGCCCUAAAAUUCGGACUCAGGCGUUUUUUAGUGUGUUUCUGUGUUUCUGCUGGGAAAAAGUUGGAGUGUCGGUAAAUGCGCAUUCCGUUGAUGCUCAGCAGUUUCCCAGCCGCUACCAAGUUGACGCGGCGGACUACGGAACUUUUCAAAGAGGCUUUGCUUCGCAACUGGCUCUUCAGUCUUGAAGAGACUAUCCACGUGGACCCUCCUCGUGUGUGCAUCUUUGUUGCACGUCACUUCGUUCCGUUGCACAGCUUUGACCACCCGUAUUCUUGGAAGAACGUUUUUCGAUUGCAUUAGCUCUUGGAUUCGAUCGCCCGCUAUGGAUUCUCGUGAACGGUCAAGCAUGACCAGUAGUGUAUGACAAGGUCUUCCCUGCAGAUACAGUAUGACUUGGAAGCGACACCACUGGCAGGCUGCGUUAUUUUGCUUGUCGGCUUCCGUGGGCCUUGCUCACCGUUGUCCAAAAGACUCCAUGCCGUGGCCAGAGCUAUACCGCCAAGCCAUGGAACUGCAAUCAGUGUCAUGCCGCGCGGGAAUCUGAGGAAGCCACAGCCGGGCACGGCUCUGAUGCCCCUUCUCCGACGUCUCUACCGUCAGUGAUUCUUGACGCCGGGCUGUUUUUCGAUUCACUAUGGCGUCGCUCAAAAAUGUCCGCAUUCCAGCACUUACGGUUGUAUACUUGUGUUAGUCUCUUACCCGUUGGCCCGGUAUCUACUUUCUUCUGUGCCACAUCCCUUAAGGAACAUUUGAGAUUCUCAAAAACCGCAC
rnacentral:lncRNA from 1 species